GCAGUUGGGGGGAACUGACAACUGCCUCUCUCAAGCUGGGAUUCAGAUAGAGAGGCUGUGUGUCAGAGUAUCCCUGAAGAAAUCAUCUUUGGAGCUGCCUGACUUGGAUUAUCUUCAAGGAAAGGUUGAGUGUGUGUUCCCCAUUCAUACUGGUGGACAGGUGUGAGUAGGAUGUGAACUUCCUCCCUUCCUGGAUCUUGUAAGGACCCUACAUCUGGAUUCUUCAGUUUGACCCUACCAAGGACUCUGGAGUUUGAAAUUUAAAGAUAGAGGUUAAAAUUAAACAGCUGCAAGUCUGAAGAAAGCUGUUUAGGCAUGAACUUCAAAGUCCAGUGUUAGAAUUAAAGGAUAUAAUAGGCUAAUUUUAAGCAUUUUAAAAGACUACAAAUAAUCUUCCCAUGUGCGCGGUGUGGAAAGGAGAGCUUGUCACACAUAUGAGUGCAUUUGUUCUGAAACAGCUGCAAUAACCCACACACUAUUCCCCAACUGGGGCUUUAUCUUCUACUCCUAAAGAUAGGAAGAGAAAGAGAAUAAGAACAGAAUUUCAAUGAACAGCACUACAGACAAACUACUGCCUAGCCAUGGCACCUACAUCUUGUACUUGUGUCUUCAUUUUUAUCCAAGAUAAAUUUCUUCACUAAUGUUAAGAUCUUUUCAAAUCCAGUUCAUUUAAAAUCUAUACCCCAUGUCAUCCCAAUGUGUGUUCUCUGCAAAUCUGGAAAACAUGGGUUAUAGUCUAUGCCAAUUGAUUGUGAAGACUCAGAAAGUAAAGAUUACUUAAAAUUGAUUAUUUGAGUAGGUGGGGGGCAUCAAAAAGAAAAUGAGGCCAUUAAAUAGUUUUACUCUACCAUUAUGUAAUUUAAGGAAAUACUAGCCUCCCAUGCCACCCUUGGGAAUGCCAAUGGGAAAGAACAUGGGAACCAGAACAAUUUGUAUGUUCCACAUUUGGCAGAGAAGUUUCAAAAUCUCAGACUGGAAUUGAGGGCUACCUUCUAGACCAGGGACUGCCCUCAUUACUUUCUAUUUUCUUAAAUAUUACUUGUCCAUUACACUUUACAAUAGUCCAAGAUAGACUCUCUCUCUCUCCCUUGACCUGUUAAAUACUAGUAAUCAGCAGCUCAAAACAAGGCACAGACACAAUGGAAGAUUUCACUACUGCCUAAUAUAGAAAAUUUAUCUAAAAUGAUUACUAUUCUAACUUAAUUGACUAAAAAGGGUUGUACAAAAAUAUUUAUAGCUGUGCUCUUUGUGGUGGCAAAAAAAAAUAGAAAAAGAGAGGACGCCCUUCAAUUGGGGAAUGGCUGAACAAAUUGUGGUAUAUGUUGGUGAUGGAAUACUAUUGUGCUCAAAGGAAUAAUGAACUGGAGGAAUUCCAUGUGAACUGGAAUGAUCUCCAUGAACUGAGGCAGAGUGAAAGGAGCAGAACCAAGAGAACACUGUACACAGAGACUUAAACACUAUGGGUUGAUCAUAUGUAAUCAACUUUGCUACUAAUAACAAUGAAAUGAUCCAGGAAAAUACAGAGGAGCUUAUGAGAAAGAAUACUAUCCACACUGAGAAAGAACUGUGGGAGUAGAAACACAGAAGAAAAAUGUAUGACUAAUACGCUUUUUAUAUGUGUGUGGGAUUUGGGUUUUUGGCUUUUAAAAGAUUACUCUAUUACAAAAAUGAAUAAUAUGGAAAUAGAUAUUGAGUGAUAUCACAUGUAUAACCCAAUGGAAUUGCAUGUCAGCUCCAGGAGUGGGGAGGGAAAAGGUGAGAGAAAGAAAAUAGAUCAUGUAACCAAGGGAAAAUUCUUAUACAAUAAAUAAAUAAACAAUACAAAUAAUGAAGUAAGAUGUACCAAAAAAUUAAAAUAAAAACUAAAAUAGACCUCAAAGAAAGAGACAGAGAGACAAACAAAUAGAAAGAUGAGUAUUACAGAGAAAGAGAGAAAGAUAGAGGCAGGAAGAUGGAGAAAGACAGGUAAAGGUAUGAGAGAAAAACUGUUCUCUCUAGGUAUUAGGAACCGAGUAUACAAACGUACAGAAGUGUCAAAAGGGAGCAAAAGAUAAGAGAAUGGCAAGCAUAUCUUUUAGACUAGCACAUAAAGUAACUGAAGAAAAGCAGAAUGAAAUAAAACCAGAAAAAUAGAGAUCAGGUUGUUUUGAGGUGUUUUUUGUUGUUGUUUUUUGGGAUUUUGCUCCCUCUGCUUGGCACAUAGUGAGCACUUAAUAAAUGCUUACUAAACGAGUAAUUGAAAGAAUGAAUGAAUGUCAUGGUGAGGGGAAUUUAGUUAAUUCUUUAAAGAAUGAGCAGCUCCU